AAAUAGCAUAAUUUCAAUUAAUGACUGAAAAGUAAGAUAGUUCAAAAUCUUUGUUUUAGUGAGAUUUAAAAAAUAUAUUACUUGAGACUGUUGAAUUAAUUCUGAAAUUGUUGUCUGAGAAAACUUAUUACUUUCCUCGUAGGGUCAAAUCAAUCUAAAGUGAAGGUGUAGAAGAGCCAUGAAGUAAAACUUCAUGUUCUGGAAGAGAUAAGAUAGUGAUCCAAGUUGUCCUGGAGUCUGGACAACUGACAUAUAUACCAUUCCAUUGGUGGUGGGGACAACUUUCUCUUCACAUAAUUGUGUUUUUACCCCCAACAAAAAAACAAGUAAACUAGACUUGUUUUGUACUGAUUACCUUAUCUGUUUUGUUAGAUAACUGUUUGAAUUUUAUGUUUUAUAAAAUAGAACAUAUAAUAUAAUACUUUAAAUCCAAUUUGAACAAAACUAAAUUUAGGUUAGGAUUGACCAAAAUCGAAUUUAAGUAUCAUUAUGUUAUAUUUUGUAUUAUAACACAGAAUCAUAAGACAGAAGGGGGUCGAUAAAUAAUUUUGCAAAACAAAUGAUUCACUCUACUCGGGAGCAGCAGAAUAGUCAUUUCUUCUAUAAAAUGGUAAACAAGGCAGAAUCUGGAUAAAUAAAAGACCAAUGUUUCAGUCAUAUGCUGAUCAGAUCACUCCGUUUUUUAACAUACAAAAUAACUAUGUAAAACUCCAAGUU